rnacentral:rRNA from 1 species
GAUGAACGCUGGCGGCGUGCCUAAUACAUGCAAGUCGAGCGAACAGACGAGGAGCUUGCUCCUCUGACGUUAGCGGCGGACGGGUGAGUAACACGUGGAUAACCUACCUAUAAGACUGGGAUAACUUCGGGAAACCGGAGCUAAUACCGGAUAAUAUAUUGAACCGCAUGGUUCAAUAGUGAAAGACGGUUUUGCUGUCACUUAUAGAUGGAUCUGCGCCGCAUUAGCUAGUUGGUAAGGUAACGGCUUACCAAGGCAACGAUGCGUAGCCGACCUGAGAGGGUGAUGGGCCACACGGGAACAGAGCCCGGGCCGAGACCCCUGGGGGGGGAGGAGGGGGGGAUUUUUCAGGAAGGGGCGAAGGCCGGACGGAGCACCGCGGGGGGAGGAAGAAAGGUUUCAGUAUCUUAAAACUGUUUUAUGGGGAAAAAAAAAAGGUUUAAGAAACUAUGCGCGUCUGGAGGGUACCUAAUAAAAAACCCACGGCAAACCCGGUC